rnacentral:lncRNA from 1 species
CAGUGUGUCAACCAGGGCUGGGAGCUCAUCUGAAGGCUCAACAGGGGAUGUAUCCACUGCAGGCCUCUUCUCAGGAUAUUGUUGACACAAUUUAGCUCCUUGAGGGUGCUGGACUGAGGGCCUCACUUCCUAGAUGACUGUUGGCCAGUGGCCACCAGCAAUUCUUUGCCACAUGAGCCUCUCCAGUAUUGCAGCUUGCUUCAUCAAAGUGUGCAAGACAAGAAGACAAAAAAGAGAGCUGCAAGAAAGACGGAAACCAAGAUCUCAUGUAACCUAAUGACAGAGGACGAAGUCUUGCUCUGUUGACCAAGCUGGAUGGAGUGCAGUGGUGCGAUCACAACUCACUGCAACCUUGACCUCCUGGGCCCAAGCAAUCCUCCUGCUUCAGCCUACCAAAGUGUUGGGAUUACAGGAAUGAGCUACCAUGCCCAGCCAAAAGCCCAGGGUUUUGUUGGAUGGUAGUACAAGGAGAUGCUUUCUCACUGCACCCCCACCUCCCAUCUUUGAGGAUAAAC